AACAAACGCUGGCGGCGUGCCUAACACAUGCAAGUCGUACGAGAAAGUUGGCUUCGGCCAAUAAGUAAAGUGGCGCACGGGUGAGUAACGCGUGGAUAAUCUACCCUUUAGCUAGGAAUAACUCACCGAAAGGUGGGCUAAUACCUAAUAAUACUGUUUCUACUCCGGUAGAACAGUCAAAGAUAGCCUCUGUAUACAAGCCUUCACUAAAGGAUGACUCCGCGUACCAUUAGCUAGUUGGUAGGGUAAUGGCCUACCAAGGCUACGAUGGUUAGCUUGUCUGAGAGGAUGAUCAGCCACACUGGAACUGAGAUACGGUCCAGACUCCUACGGGAGGCAGCAGUGAGGAAUCUUGCGCAAUGGGGGAAACCCUGACGCAGCAACGCCGCGUGAGUGAGGAAGGCCUUCGGGUCGUAAAGCUCUGUCAGGUGGGAAGAAGUGUAUGGGAGUUAAUAGCUCUCAUAUUUGACGGUACCAUCAGAGGAAGCACCGGCAAACUCCGUGCCAGCCGCCGCCGUAA
rnacentral:rRNA from 1 species